GAUGAACGCUGGCGGCGUGCCUAAUACAUGCAAGUCGAGCGAACAGACGAGGAGCUUGCUCCUUCGACGUUAGCGGCGGACGGGUGAGUAACACGUAGGUAACCUACCUAUAAGACUGGGAUAACUUCGGGAAACCGGAGCUAAUACCGGAUAAUAUUUCGAACCGCAUGGUUCGAUAGUGAAAGAUGGCUUUGCUAUCACUUAUAGAUGGACCUGCGCCGUAUUAGCUAGUUGGUAAGGUAACGGCUUACCAAGGCAACGAUACGUAGCCGACCUGAGAGGGUGAUCGGCCACACUGGAACUGAGACACGGUCCAGACUCCUACGGGAGGCAGCAGUAGGGAAUCUUCCGCAAUGGGCGAAAGCCUGACGGAGCAACGCCGCGUGAGUGAUGAAGGUCUUCGGAUCGUAAAACUCUGUUAUUAGGGAAGAACAAACGUGUAAGUAACUGUGCACGUCUUGACGGUACCUAAUCAGAAAACCACGGCUAACUACGU
rnacentral:rRNA from 1 species